rnacentral:rRNA from 1 species
GACGUAGGGAGCGAGCGUUGUCCGGAUUUACUGGGCGUAAAGGACGCGUAGGCGGUCCGUUAAGUGUGAAGUGAAAUCUCCAGGGCUCAACCCGGAAACUGCUUUACAUACUGGCGGACUGGAGGGAUGCAGAGGUAAGUAGAAUUCCUGGUGUAGCGGUGAAAUGCGUUGAUAUCAGGAGGAAUACCGAUGGCGAAGGCAGCUUACUGGGCAUCAUCUGACGCUGAGGCGUGAAAGCGUGGGUAGCAAACAGG